GUGUUGCAGAUCUUGAAGGAUGGAACAGAAUCUCCACUGCGACGAAGCAUAUUAAUCCGAUGGUAGCUUCUGCGGUUCUAGCAAUUGCAAAUUCACUUGGAGUGCCGUAGUUUUUCCUUCCCAAUAUCAGUGAUGCCCCUAUAACUGCUGCAAUCCCACCAGCUUGGCCAUACAUGCGACUAUGUCUCAGAAAACUGGUGAAAAUGAUCCAAGGAAGUAGAACCACCAUAAAUGUUGCUUGUCGCUCUGUUACGAAACUAAUGGCAAUUGUUAGUCCCGACCAGUAUCCGUUCUCUUUGUUAUAUAUCAAACCGAAUAGCACAGCGAGACCUAGAGAAAGUGAGCACUUGAUUGCGAAAAGACCGUCUUGUAGGAGUUCCAUACAAUACAAGAAGAAGAAGGAUGACAGAUCUUCAUGGUUUGUUGAAAUGGCUUUUUGGGUCCACAAAGAUCUGUCUGUAUUUUCUCCCUUCAUAUCUGGAGUUGUUGCUGCAUCAAAAGGCACGGAACGCAUAGCUUGCUCAAGUUUUAGAGCAAUCUGUUUCUUUUCAAUUUGUAGAACAUUUACGAGCUCUUCGUCCAUCAUCCUGACAGGGAAGGGAGUGCAAUUGGUUAAGGCCCAUUCCAUCCCUUGAAUCGGCAUAUCCAUCUCUUUCAGUUUCUCUCCGGGAUCUGAGCGCUUUGGUUUCAAGAAUCUCAACCAAGGUUUCUCCCAAAGCAUGCCUUCCUGUUAACAGAAAACACCUCGUCAAUGUUACUUUCAAACAAAAGCUCAGACAGAGAUUAGAAAAGGUUUUGUCAUUCAGAUUUGACACUCAAGCUUGGCGCAUUUCAAGUUCUAGUUGGACAGAUUCAAGUUGACUUUUUUAUGAUUAAAUCAGGUUGGGUUGAGUUUUCAGAUUUGGGCCAAAAUUGAAUGGUCUACAUAUGGAUAUACUCUCCCUUAUGGCGGUAUUAAGAAUCUGAUGCUUCAUGAUUUUUCUAUUCUUCUGCUUCCCUGUUUAUGCAUUAUGAAGGACCAUGCUUUUCGAUGUACCUUAACUUUCAUGCUCUUAGUUUUAACAAAGAAAAGAAAUUAACGUAAUCCUCAUCAUCAUCUUGUAGACAGAAGGAAAAUGAUUGGAUAUUUGAUGAAAAGGUUUAUUGGCAUCUAUUUUAGUGUUUUACAGCACUAGGUGAGGAUGAACAACCAUGAAACUUGACCCUAAACAUUGCACUAUUUCGUUAUGCUUAUGCAAUACAUAAAUCUUGAUGCAAAAUAGAUGCAGUCCCAUGCAAAACAAAGCAAGUUCAUAUUCCAGCUCGGUACUUACCUCACGGUAGGCUAAGUGAGGGUACGGAAACAACAUGGCUAGAAUAGAUGCCACGGCGCCAAGAGCUGUGCUUGCUGCGACAUGAAUCGGAUGAAUGAUAAUUCCAGUUUUUGCACCUUGAAUAACUGCACCUACAUAAAUAAUCACAGUCUGACCGAAGGCAAUCCUCUUAGCCGUCAAAUGCGUGGAACCAGGUAACGCGAUCAGGAAUGAACUAAGUGCCACUGCUACAGCAGCUAGUCCACAGUUGAACCUAGAUGGUCCAAUCAACCGGAGAAUCAACAUAGAAGGCAGUAUUACUUGAAUGCUGGCACAUAGAACAUGCCAACAACCUCGCAGGGCAUCACCAAGUGUAGCAUCCGAGACUAUUAAGAUAGUUGUCACAUAGGAAAACGCAGGAAACGUUAUGGUAUGCCGGACAGAUUCCGGCCCGUAGAGGGUAGUGCAACCCACUAUGGAGCAAGCUAGCACAGUCCGCAAAGCAGAUCCUAGGCGUAAACGCCAUGGAGCUUGUGAGCUAUCCAUUGGUGCUUUCAUUAUGUAAUUUAGGUCUGUCAAGAGUCUGAGAUUGGUUGACGAGAGGCUUUAUAGGAGAACAAAGACACACAUGGUGGUAUGCAAUUGCAAGCCUGGGAAGAUUAAUGGAAGGAUUAUGAUGUAUUUUACAUUAUUGGAGUGAAAAUGCUCAAGCCGGCAGUAUUUCUUUGGCAUCAUAAAGGUAUAUCCCGAGUUACGUUGGACUCGAGACUAACAUUUAUUGGACCAGGAGCAUAUACGGUAAAACCCUUCUAUCAAGUGCCUUUUUUUGAGGGAUAAUUUUUUUAUUUCGGUACAAGUACCAUGAAAAUUUUUGUACUAAGAGUUAGAUUAUAUUUUAUCUCCUUUACUCACAAAAUAGGUAAAUUAAUCUAUAUAUGUUAGAUCAAAGAGCAAACCCGACAUUGAUCAUUCUACGGUUAAAAACUAACAUAGCUUAUAGAAUAACCAAAUUCACGUGAUAUAUCACAUGUAUUUCAUUCUUACAUAGAUCAAUUUUUAACAGUAUUAGUUUGCUCUUUAAUCAAUAUAUAGGGAUUAAUUUGUUUAUUUUUUCAAUAAAAAAGAUAAAAUACAAUAUAACUCCUAAUACAAAGAUCUUUAUGAUAUUUUUACCUCGUUCAUCGAAUUUUUACUCUUUAUUCCUUUUAAUUUUUACUACCAAAUAUAGAAAUCCGGAAUUGUCACUGUUCUACUUGUUUUUGUCCUACAUUCCAAAAUCCCACAUUUUUUUGGAACAUUUUUCAACAAUAAUUUCCAUAUUAGAUUUUAUAAAA